GACGAACGCUGGCGGCGUGCUUAACACAUGCAAGUCGAACGGAAAGGCCCUGCUUUUGUGGGGUGCUCGAGUGGCGAACGGGUGAGUAACACGUGAGUAACCUGCCCUUGACUUUGGGAUAACUUCAGGAAACUGGGGCUAAUACCGGAUAGGAGCUCCUGCUGCAUGGUGGGGGUUGGAAAGUUUCGGCGGUUGGGGAUGGACUCGCGGCUUAUCAGCUUGUUGGUGGGGUAGUGGCUUACCAAGGCUUUGACGGGUAGCCGGCCUGAGAGGGUGACCGGCCACAUUGGGACUGAGAUACGGCCCAGACUCCUACGGGCGGCAGCAGUGGGGAAUCUUGCACAAUGGGCGGAAGCCUGAUGCAGCAACGCCGCGUGCGGGAUGACGGCCUUCGGGUUGUAAACCGCUUUCGCCUGUGACGAAGCGUGAGUGACGGUAAUGGGUAAAGAAGCACCGGCUAACUACGUG
rnacentral:rRNA from 1 species